AUCGAACGCUGGCGGCAGGCCUAACACAUGCAAGUCGAGCGGAUGAAGCGGGCUUGCUCCUGGAUUCAGGGGUGGACGGGUGGGUAAUGCCUAGGAAUCUGCCUGGUAGUGGGGGAUAACGUCCGGAAACGGGCGCUGAUACCGCAUACGUCUUGAGAUAGGAAUUGGGGGAGCUUCGGACCUCACGCAAUGAGAUGAGCGUAGGUGGGGUUAGGUAGGUGGUGGGGUAAAGUCCUACCAAGGCGAUGACCCGUAACUGGUCUGAGAGGAUGACCAGUCACAGUGGAACUGGGACACGGUCCAGACUCCGACGGGAGGCAGCGGUGGGGAAUAUGGGACAUGGAGCGAAGGCGUGAUCCAGCCAUGCCGCGUGGGUGAAGAAGGGCUUCGGAUUGUGAAGCACGUUAAGUUGGGAGGAGGGGAAGUAAGUUAAUACCUAGGUGUUUGGCGGUUACCGAAAGAGUAGGCACCGCUAACCUCGUU
rnacentral:rRNA from 1 species